GUCCACGCUGUAAACGAUGUCGGCUAGACGCUGGGCAGCAAGCUGUUCGGUGUCGGCGCUAACGCAUUAAGCCGACCGCCUGGGGAGUACGGCCGCAAGGUUAAAACUCAAAGGAAUUGACGGGGGCCCCGCACAAGCGGUGGAGCAUGUGGUUUAAUUCGAUGCAACGCGCAGAACCUUACCAGCCCUUGACAUGGGGAGUUUGGGUCUCGGAGACGGGAUCCUUCAGUUCGGCUGGCUCCCACACAGGUGCUGCAUGGCUGUCGU
rnacentral:rRNA from 1 species